rnacentral:lncRNA from 10 species
ACGCGCGCGGGGCAACCUCGUCUCGCCUCCCGGCCCGACGGAGCCCUCGCCUCACCUUUUCCAGCAGCUCCGCCGCCGGCCCGUCGUCCUCCUCGCCUCCGGUCCCAUUCGCCGCCGCAGCCGCCUCGGCCUGACAGUCGCCCGUAGGGGAGAACUGAGGUCGCUUGAAGCGCUUCGUCCGGCUCUUGCCCAUGGUGACGUGCGCUGGGCGGACAGACCACCGAGAGAGGAGGGCAACAGCAGGCGGUGGAGGCUGCCGCGCCGUUAACAAGAGUCUCACUCUGCUGUCCAGGCUGGAGUGCAAUGGUGCGAUCUCGGCUUAUUGUAACCUCUGCCUUGGAGUUCAAGCAGUCCUCCUGCCUUAGCCUCCUAAGUAGCUGAGAUUACAGCUCCAGCUACCAUGCGGUGACCACGGGCCCGGGUGCUUCUUGCUGUGAUGAAUGAGCCACAGGGACCAGGUCUGCAUGCUCUGCUGCGCAUUGCUUAACCCCGACAGCUCCUUCUCCAGCGCCGCCUCAGAGAAGACUGACAUCCCUUCCACCCCACAUUCACGCCGUCCCACACUGGGGUGACAGGAGGAGAGUUAAGUUGCCCUCUC